rnacentral:rRNA from 1 species
UACGGGGGGGGCAAGCGUUGUUCGGAAUUACUGGGCGUAAAGGGCUCGUAGGCGGCCAACUAAGUCGGACGUGAAAUCCCCAGGCUCAACCUGGGAACUGCGUCCGAUACUGGAUGGCUUGAAUUCGGGAGAGGGAUGCAGAAUUCCAGGUGUAGCGGUGAAAUGCGUAGAUAUCUGGAGGAAUACCGGUGGCGAAGGCGGCAUCCUGGACCAAUUCUGACGCUGAGGAGCGAAAGCCAGGGGAGCAAACGGG